GAUGAACGCUGGCGGCGUGCCUAAUACAUGCAAGUCGAGCGAACAGAUAAGGAGCUUGCUCCUUUGACGUUAGCGGCGGACGGGUGAGUAACACGUGGGUAACCUAUCUAUAAGACUGGAAUAACUCCGGGAAACCGGGGCUAAUGCCGGAUAACAUGUUGAACCGCAUGGUUCUACAGUGAAAGGCGGCUUUGCUGUCACUUAUAGAUGGACCCGCGCCGUAUUAGCUAGUUGUUGAGGUAACGGCCCACCACGGCAACGAGACGUAGCCGACCUGAGAGGGUGACCGGCCACACUGGAACUGAGCCACGGUCCAUACUCCUACGGGAGGCAGCAGUAGGGAAUCUUCCGCAAUGGGCGAAAGCCUGACGGAGCAACGCCGCGUGAGUGAUGAAGGUCUUCGGAUCGUAAAACUCUGUUAUUAGGGAAGAACAAAUGCGUAAGUAACUGUGCGCGGCUUGACGGUACCUAAUCAGAAAGCCACGGCUAACUACGUG
rnacentral:rRNA from 1 species